CUUCCUGUGAGUGACGGGCUCCGACACGGACACCAACACGCCACAACCUGGACCACCGAGCACAGCGUCAAAUUACAGGCAGAGGCUUGUGAAGACAUGCUGGCAAGAAAUGCCAGCGACAUGGGAAAAGUCAAACAGGACAAUGUUUGGAAAACACAACAGAAGAAAAAUCAAAAGGUUACUGGACAAAGCCAUUCAUCAGCACUGCAGGCUCUAAUCGCAUUUCACCCCCCCACCCCCCGACCCCCAUUUCCACACCUUCAAGUACUUCGCACCCCGUUUGCCAUGCGAAGGAAAGCGGCCGUCAUAAAGGCUCAUGAAUACUGAGAUGACCCACAGGGAGUAAGCCGAGCCGUGUGUCUGUUUACGCACCAACAUUCAUUUUAAAACAUUAGUCUCUCCUCUUGGUGGAUCAUCUUACUCCAGCCCUAAAGGCUCGCCACUGGCUCCUAAUUAGCCAGAAUAGAUUUUAAAAUUUGGCUACUGGUCAAAAAAAAUUAAUCAUUGAAUGAAUUGGGUGCUGAUUACUGGUUACUGAUUAAAUGCUACUUGAAUAUAAUCGAGUUUUUGUGUGUAUGUAUUUAUCUAUCUUUGUAUUAUCGAUCUAUACAGAGAGACAGGAAGAUCCAACCUUUAAUUCAAGUGCAUUUAUUCCAUGGGAGAAAGAAAUCCGACAUUAAGAAAUAAUUCUUUUACAUCAAAUCAUGCAUGCCACAAUUAUUAGCACCCCAGAUGUGAAUAUUUUGCACCGCCCCCCUUUUGCCCAGCAAAGCAGCACCCGAUGUUCUCUUUCAGCAAAAUCAAUUAAAGAAAGAGGAAUCUUCAACCAUUCCGCUUG